rnacentral:rRNA from 1 species
UACAUGGGGUGCAACCGUUGCUCGGAAUUAUUGGGCGUAAAGCGCGCGUAGGCGGUUACUCAAGUCGGAUGUGAAAGCCCUCGGCUUAACUGAGGAAGUGCACCCGAAACUGAGUAGCUAGAGUACUAAAGAGGGUCGCGGAAUUCCCGGUGUAGAGAUGAAAUUCGUAGAUAUCGGGAGGAACACCGGUGGCGAAGGCGGCGACCUGGGUAGAUACUGACGCUGAGGCGCGAAAGCGUGGGGAGCAAACAGG